rnacentral:rRNA from 1 species
GAUGAACGCUGGCGGCGUGCCUAAUACAUGCAAGUCGAGCGAACGGACGAGAAGCUUGCUUCUCUGAUGUUAGCGGCGGACGGGUGAGUAACACGUGGAUAACCUACCUAUAAGACUGGGAUAACUUCGGGAAACCGUAGCUAAUACCGGAUAAUAUUUUGAACCGCAUGGUUCAAAAGUGAAAGACGGUCUUGCUGUCACUUAUAGAUGGAUCCGCGCUGCAUUAGCUAGUUGGUAAGGUAACGGCUUACCAAGGCAACGAUGCAUAGCUGACCUGAGAGGGUGAUCGGCCACACUGGAACUGAGACACGGUCCAGACUCCUACGGGAGGCAGCAGUAGGGAAUCUUCCGCAAUGGGCGAAAGCCUGACGGAGCAACGCCGCGUGAGUGAUGAAGGUCUUCGGAUCGUAAAACUCUGUUAUUAGGGAAGAACAUAUGUGUAAGUAACUGUGCACACCUUGACGGUACCUAAUCAGAAAGCCACGGCUAACUACGUG